rnacentral:rRNA from 1 species
CGUAAUGGGAGAAUAACGAUACGUAUCAUUUCGGAAUCUUAAAUAUAUCUUGAGGGGUUUCUAGACAAUAUUGAAUAAAAUCGAGUUGUCUAACCAUGGAAGGUGGUAGCCCUGUAAAGAUCAUUCAAAUCCGCUUUGGUACGUAUCCGUUCUCCCAAAGAGUAAGGUUGCUUGUAAUUACAACCCGAAGUAGGUGGUACAUUCCAUCUAAGGCUAAAUAUUCUUACGAGACCGAUAGCGAACAAGUACCGUGAGGGAAAGUUGAAAAGUACUCUGAAGAGAAC